rnacentral:rRNA from 1 species
UACAGAGAGUGCAAACGUUGUUCGGAAUUACUGGGCUUGAAGCGCACGUAGGCGGCGUUGUAAGUGUCGGGUGAAAUCCCACGGCUCACCCGUGGAACUGCCCGGCAUACUGCGAUGCUAGAGUGUGGUAGGGGAGAGCGGAACUCCUGGUGGAGCGGUGAAAUGCGUAGAUAUCAGGAGGAACACCGGUGGCGAAGGCGGCAUCCUGGACCGACAUUGACGCUGAGGCGCGAAAGCCAGGGGAGCAAACGGG